UACGUAGGGUGCGAGCGUUAAUCGGAAUUACUGGGCGUAAAGCGUGCGCAGGCGGUGAUGUAAGACAGGUGUGAAAUCCCCGGGCUUAACCUGGGAACUGCAUUUGUGACUGCAUCGCUGGAGUGCGGCAGAGGGGGAUGGAAUUCCGCGUGUAGCAGUGAAAUGCGUAGAUAUGCGGAGGAACACCGAUGGCGAAGGCAAUCCCCCUGGGCCUGCACUGACGGCUCAUGCACGAAAGCGUGGGGAGCAAACAGG
rnacentral:rRNA from 1 species